GUUGAUAAUUAAGACUGAGCUAGCAGAUAAGAAAUCCUAGUCAUUGACCAGCAGCAUUGUACCUAAUAUAAGUCUCUGUGUGUUUUUUUGCCACCCAUGUGGCCGGUGGAAAGAUUUAUCGCUACAAGGAGCGAUGGCUCUGUGGUUAAAAGUUAAAAGCACCAUACUGCUUGUGGUGGUUUGAAUGAAAAUAGCCUCAUAGGCUCAUAGGGAGUGGCAUUAUUUGAAAGGAUUAGGACAUAUGGCCUUAUUGGAGUGGGUGUGGCCUUGUUGGAGGAAGUGUGUCCCUGGGGGUGGGCUUUGAGGUUUCAGAAGUUCAAGCCAGGCCUGAGGGCUCAUUCUCUCUCUUUCUGCUGCUUGGCAAUCGAGACAUAGAACUCUCAGCUACCCCUCCAGUACCAUGUCUGCCUGCACGCUGCCAUGCUUCCUGCCGUGAAGAUAAUGGACUGAACCUCUGAAUAUCACAUUCACUUAAGAAAGAAGAUAAUUCACCCAAGAGCACAGAACAUCGUCUUCCUGUCUUCCCCGACUACAGCCUGAAAAGUCAGGUCCCUUAAGGGACGUGUUAUUUUUAACCAGCCUUUGCCGCUCAGAGUAAGUGAAGAAAGGAUUUAGUCUUUUAAACAUCUGAUUUUCUGAAAGUGCCAGACUCUAAAAGCCCUUUGCUUUUUGUCUUCUGGCUGUAUGUUUACUGGGGAGCUGGCACUGGGGCCUAGUUUGUAUCCUGUACCCUCUCUUCCUCAUCAGCUUCUGGCAGCCCGAGCAGAGGGAGUAGGUAUCUUCAAUUCUUGCUUCAACCAUUUUACAGGCCACCAUGAUGGACUGCAAUCCUUCCAAAACCAUGAUCUGUCACAGUGUCAUGAGAGUAACUAAUACAGGGACGAAUCAACUACCCCAGCCUUGAGCCGUCAGAGGGACCUUGCCAGCUUUGCUCCUGAGUUAGGCUCUCACUGAACCGGAGUUCACUGGUAGAAUGAGUGGUCUGAGCGUGCUGAGAUCCGCCUGUCUUUGCUGCUCCAGCACUGGACUAUAGAUGCGUACGGUCAUGCAUGGCACUUAGGACUCCUAUGGGAGGAGACUGGAGAUGCACCCAGAAGCUCAUGGGCUAGCUGGCCUGGAGUACACAGCUCAACAGCGGAAACAAGAUCGGCCCGUCUCAACAAGGUGGAAGCUGAGGUACAAGUCCUGAAAGUUGUUCUCUGACCUCCACAUACACACUGCGGCAUGGGAAUGCCCUCCCCCAAUGAGCCCUCCAGUCCUCCAUGAAGAGAAGGCACCGUUACAUGGAUGUGGGAUUUCGCAGCCAUCCCACGGCUCUGCAAAGCUGUGACUUUCCCCUACGGGUACAUCUUCAAGAUACUAGUGGAGGCACGUGGCUGCCCAUCAAAGUCAGUUGAAGGAAAAACAAAGGAGCAGAGGGAAUUUAUUGGCUCAAGUCCUUGAAGGAGACUGGGUUGGACCUGGAUUUCCGGCACAGCUGACUUCUGUGUCACUCUUUCCAUUUCAUAUCCUUGCUCACACCGCCUGGCUUUAAUGGCUGGGGACUUCCAUGUGACAAAGACAGCCACGGGUGCUUCCCAGUUAUCACCAGUAAAACAAAGAAACAAGUAAUUAAACAAGUAAAAGCCUAAAAGGAUUCCAGUGGCCAAAUAUCUGACAAGAAGCAACAAGGAGAAGGAAGUUAGUGGGAAUUCGUAGUGUGGUGGAAAUUUGUUUCUGUCAAUAGUUUUGGAGUCUUAGGGCGUGGCUUCAGUGUGUGGCCAUGAUCCCUUACAUGGAAGAGAGGAGGGGACGUGCUCGCUCUCUCUUGAAGUUAUGGUCUGAGACCUGUUCAUCAUCAUCCUGCAUCUCAGCAUCCUGCCAACUAUUCCGAAAGACCACGGCAGCUAUUUCCCUUCAUUGUGUGUGUGUUCCCCAAAUAAAUAUGUUAUUCUUUCAUUUGAGUGCUUGUGGACUCCAUUGAUGCUCCCACAAGGAAGGGUUUGUUCCACUCAUAGUCUGAAGGGAGACAGUCCUCCAUGGUGCAGAAGGCAUGAGGUAGAAACGUAAGAUGGCUGCUGACAUUUUAUUUAUAUUUUGGAAGCAGAAAGUGUAUAAGAAGUAGAGCCAGGCUACAAAAGUUCAAAGCUUGCCCUCACUGAGUCACUUCCCUUAGUGAGGCUCCAGCUCCAAAAGAUUCCACAAUCUACUACAGUGCCACCAGCUAAGGACCAAGUGUUCAAACACGCAAGCCCACGGGGACAUCUCACCUUCAAGCCACCGCAGGAGGGUACAAGAAUCUCAACCUCAGCAGCACAAACGACAGGACUCAUCUGGCUUGAGCCACAGGCCUGUUUUCUGAAAUAACAGCUUGUCCAAGAGAGUCCUGAUUGGCACCAUCUCUGGGAUGACCUGGUACCUGUUGGACCCAAAAGUGAAGUCCAACUCCGGGAGAUGCACACCACAGAGUCACUCACAGGACACAAGUUCGAUGCAAAAGCAAAAGGAUUUUAUCCCAACGCGUUGGGGUCGUUCCCUGGGAAGAGAAGGACCCCGAGUUUUUAAAACACACAGUUUUUAUGUCUUUUUGGUCACUAGGCAGGAGUGUGACAACGUAUUGAUUGGCCAUAACAUACAUGAGUCAUUUACUAAUUGGUUGGGAACUGAACUUACAAUUUUGCCCACGAGGGGUUUGGAAUGUUAUUUUGGUUUUUACACCUGCAAGGCCAUGGGGCGGCUAGUGGUUUUUCUGGGAACAGAGUGACUUAUACUUAUUUUCAAAACUUGGGUGCUCUGGAGCAGGGUAACCCAUAACAAGUUUUAGAAACCAGACAGUUGUUGAAGAUAAUAGAAACUAAUAAUAAUAACAAUUUCCAGAGACUGGUCAUCGUGACCGACCAUUUCAUGUGUUCUUUGUCCCAGAGCUGUGUGUGGCCAGAGUGAUUUUCAAAUGCAUGCUGGUGGGUAUCAGGCUAGGCUUGAGUUGGGGUCUUUCAGUACCCUCUGCCCUUCUUCCAGAGUCAGGGAAUUUCCACCAUUGUUGCCUGCAGAAGAUAAUGGCAGAGUCCCAGCAGCUUUGCCUUCCAGAAAGGACCUGUUGUCUGUGACAGAAUCCAGAAGAAUCCCCAAGGUGUCUGAUGAGAUUUGCCUUUUGGAGGAAGAAUUAUAAUCAAGAUCAUAAAAGUUUUUAUGCUGUGUCUUCGGCAGAGAUCUUUGAUCUUGCAAUCGUGGAUAUUUUAAGAAUCUAAAGUUGGAAGACAAUUAAGUCUUCAGGUUCAAUUUAGAUUAAGUAAGCUAUGGCUUCAGGAGGAUCCAGGCUUUACCAUCUCCUUUGCUGAGGUUUUAUUGACACAGGAUUUUCUUAACCUUGAGACCUAACCAGACUGGG
rnacentral:lncRNA from 1 species